CAGCAGUAGCCACGGUAAUACGGAGGAUCCAAGCGUUAUCCGGAAUCAUUGGGUUUAAAGGGUCCGUAGGAGGUCUUGUAAGUCAGUGGUGAAAGCCCAUCGCUCAACGGUGGAACGGCCAUUGAUACUGCAGGACUUGAAUUAUUGGGAAGUAACUAGAAUAUGUAGUGUAGCGGUGAAAUGCUUAGAGAUUACAUGGAAUACCAAUUGCGAAGGCAGGUUACUACCAAUUGAUUGACGCUGAUGGACGAAAGCGUGGGUAGCGAACAGGAUUAGAGACCCCCGUAGUCCCUGUCUCUUAUAC
rnacentral:rRNA from 1 species